GAUGAAGAACGCAGCGAAAUGCGAUAACUAAUGUGAAUUGCAGAAUUCAGUGAAUCAUCGAGUCUUUGAACGCACAUUGCGCCCUCUGGUAUUCCGGAGGGCAUGCCUGUCCGAGCGUCAUUGCUGCCCUCCAGCCCGGCUGGUGUGUUGGGCCCCGUCCCCCUUCCCGGGGGGACGGGCCCGAAAGGCAGCGGCGGCACCGCGUCCGGUCCUCGAGCGUAUGGGGCUUUGUCACCCGCUCUUGUAGGCCCGGCCGGCGCCGGCCGACCCCCUCAAUCUAUUUUUCAGGUUGACCUCGGAUCAGGUAGGGAUACCCGCUGAACUUAAGCAUAUCAAUAAGCGGAGGA
rnacentral:misc_RNA from 1 species